UACGGGGGGGGCAAGCGUUGUUCGGAAUUACUGGGCGUAAAGGGCGCGUAGGCGGUUCGCUAAGUUGGAUGUGAAAACUCUGGGCUCAACCCAGAGCCUGCAUCCAAAACUGGCGGGCUAGAGUUCUGGAGGGGGUAGCGGAAUUCCUGGUGUAGCGGUGAAAUGCGUAGAUAUCAGGAGGAACACCGGUGGCGAAGGCGGCUACCUGGACAGAAACUGACGCUGAGGCGCGAAAGCCAGGGGAGCAAACGGG
rnacentral:rRNA from 1 species